GGGGGAGAGAGAGAGGCAGGCGGAGAGAGAGAGAGGCAGGUGAACGAGCCCGGCGCAGCAGCGCGGACAACUUUUCUUCUGCAGCGCAGCAGGAACAACCUCCCAUCCUUCGGUUAAUGACGAGCGCACUGAGCUGCAUCCCACAGCACUGAGGGGUGUUCCCCGCUUUCCUAAUAAUCCUACGUAACAGGGGUGCCUUCCUCCACAGCUGAUGGAGCAACUCAGCAGGAAAGCUUCUGUGCAGACAGAAGCACAAAGCACUGCACUGACAGGGAGCAGCACAAGGAGAUAUUUGAAAGGGGCAAAGGUGGGGAAGAAGAAAGUCCACCUCACUGCAUCUGACGGCUGCUGGAGCAGGGCAGCCCAUGAUGGCUUGUGAGCCUCCAUGGUCCUUCAGUUUCUGUCUAUGAGGAGCUAGGGAUUUGGGAGCCAUCAAGGCAGGAUAUGAAAAAGGAAAUGCCACCUGGAAGCAGAAAUGACCAGAGAUGUACAAACAGCUUUUCUUACAAAAUCAAGGUUUGUAGGACUCAAGAAAGGGAUGAGACUUUGCUGGCACAUAUCACUAUAGCUUCAGGGAAAUCAUUUCACCAUGAGUCGCUCUGAGCAGGGCUGUUACAAAGCUAGUGAUGACCCAUCAAUUGGCCACUGCCUGCAGUAGAAGCACCCUAAGGUGACAGUCCUGAUAUUUGCUGCCUUGGGUGCUCUGUACCGCAAUCUGGAAGAGUCCUUGGAGACAAAGCUGCUCUGAAUGCCUCAAGGCCAAACCAUGUGGGAACCAGCACAGCAUGAGAGCAGGAGAGAGUCCUGGUCUGGAAGCCCCACCUCCAAUGCAGCUUGAACAGAGUUUUGUGGUAGCCAGGAGGAUUCCGGAAGAAUCACUAACUGGUGCAUCUACUGAUGUGCUAAAAUGCUCGUGGGAGUGUCACGUUACACUGUGGUCCUCAGCUGUCCAAAGUCAGAAUCUAGGAUAUGAUGCGUGCUCAUGACACCACGAGUAAGAAAGUGGAAAGGCAGUGCCUUGCAAGUGGUCUGUAGGAAGAGCAGCAGCACCACCUAUCACCAGAGAGGGAAGGAGAGAGGAUGGACGAGGUGCUGCUCCUCCUGCCUGUUCUCAGCACAAGACUGGAGCUCAGAUUUUCACCGCAGAGAAACUUCCUUCUUUUAGCAGAAUAACCCAGCUUAAAUUUUUCACUGCACUCCUUCUGCUAUUCUUCCCAUGGUGAACAGCUAGCAGAAGGAGAUGGAGGGGAUGGAAAGGUGAAGGUUUUGGAGAAGGGCUGAGAGCUAGAAUUUACAGUGGUAAUGAACCAGAAUAAAAAUAAUAACCUUCAGGUCUACAAUAUCCAAAGAAUAGCUCAUCACUCAGAGGGCACAACUAGGCCCUAGUACCCUGUGCUCCAAGUUGUGCAAGGCUUUUGUCUUGUGGGUUCUGUUAGUCAAAAAUCCUGGCACCAGAAUUGUUGGUAUGGUCUGAACCAUAUGUAGCUUGAUUAUAAUUUAGAAAAAUGAAACAGAACAACCAAGAAGUAGCUGAAAAUCUGUAAUUUCUUCUUGCCAAAGGCAAAAAGAAUCUUU